ensembl:miRNA
UCAGAUGUAACAGCAACUCCAUGUGGACUACACUGACUUCCAGUGGAGAUGCUGUUACUUUUGAUA